rnacentral:rRNA from 1 species
UUGAGUUGAUCAUGGCUCGAACGAACGCUGGCGGCGUGCCUAACACAUGCAAGUCGAACGAGAAAGGGGCUUCGGCCCUGAGUAAAGUGGCGCACGGGUGAGUAACACGUGGGUAACCUGCCUCUAAGAUGGGGAUAACCUGUCGAAAGACGGACUAAUACCGAAUAAGACCACAGUUUCCUUGGAAACAGGGGUCAAAGGUAGCCUCUACUUGUAAGCUACCACUUAGAGAUGGGCCUGCGUACCAUUAGCUAGUUGGUGGGGUAACGGCCUACCAAGGCAAAGAUGGUUAGCUGGUCUGAGAGGAUGAUCAGCCACACUGGAACUGAGACACGGUCCAGACUCCUACGGGAGGCAGCAGUGGGGAAUAUUGCGCAAUGGGCGCAAGCCUUACGCAGCAACGCCGCGUGAGUGAUGAAGGCCUUCGGGUCGUAAAGCUCUGUCGGAGGGAACGAAUGCUCUUGAGGUUAACAGCCUCGAGAAGUGACGGUACCCUCAAAGGAAGCACCGGCUAACUCUGUGCCAGCAGCCGCGGUAAUACAGAGGGUGCGAGCGUUGUUCGGAAUCAUUGGGCGUAAAGGGCGUGUAGGCGGUUUGUUAAGUCAUGUGUGAAAUCCCUCGGCUCAACCGGGGAAGGACGCAUGAAACUGGCAAGCUAGAGUACCAAAGAGGGGGGUGGAAAUUCCGGUGU